AACAUGCUUGUGCUUGCUAUGAACCUUGCAGCAACUGUGAAGGAAGGCAAGAAGAUCAUCUGGGCAAGGCAGUACCCUGUCUGUGGCCAUCCAGCUGCCCCAGUACCAUGUCCCGUUCUGCUGUACCCAGCAAACUUCAUUAGCGCUGCCACAUUUCUGUCAAGGUAAUGGUCAAAAUACGGAAGGGUUUUAGUCCAAGAAGGAUGCUUGGGAAACUGGACAAGCAGCUAUGCUCUCACUGACACAUUCCCUUGAAACAUAUGAAGCUGUCUUUGCUCCCUGCCCUCGCCACACUGCAGCUCCUUUACCAGGUCCCAUUGACGUCUCUUUAGCUCUUCAUUUCCUACAGGGUAUCAUACGAAAGGGAAUGGAUGGCAUUGCUUUGGAGAAAUCAUUCACUACAUAAGGAAAUUAGGUUAGUCUGAAACCAACUGCCUUUGGCAAACUUAUGCCAUAAUUUAUUGCAUUCACCAUUUACCCUUCAAUAUUAUUUCUGGAAAAAUGUGUUCUGUGUUAUUCAGGCAUGGCUGAUUUGCUCUCUGCCAUGUGGAGAGGAGACUAAACACUGCAAGGUGUGCAUGCCACUGCUGCCAGCGUGGAUGUGAGGAUUGCUGCCUCUGCGUGGUGCCACCCAUUAUCUCUCACUCACUGCCUCCCCUCCCACCUGCAGCACCACCACCACCACCAGGGAAAACAGAGGCAAUUACUUUGGGGCCACUCCAAAAUUACCUUUAAUCUUUGGUCCAUUGUGCCCUCACUUCCCCCCUCCCUCCCCACUUUGUUUUCCUCUUCUUCCUCAUUCGGAUAAAGAAUUGCUCACUGUUU